rnacentral:rRNA from 1 species
CCGGCGACCGGCGCACGGGUGAGUAACACGUAUGGAACCUGCCCGCAGCAGGGGGAUAAGCGGAAGAAAUUCCGUCUAAUACCGCGUAACAACGUUGGGAGGCAUCUCCCGAUGUUUAAAGAUUUAUCGGCUGCGGAUGGCCAUGCGGCGCAUUAGCUAGUCGGCGGGGUAACGGCCCACCGAGGCGACGAUGCGUAGGGGUUCUGAGAGGAAGGCCCCCACACUGGUACUGAGACACGGACCAGACUCCUACGGAAGGCAGCAG